AGAGUUUGAUCCUGGCUCAGGACGAACGCUGGCGGCGUGCCUAAUACAUGCAAGUCGAGCGAGCUUGCCUAGAUGAUUUUAGUGCUUGCACUAAAUGAAACUAGAUACAAGCGAGCGGCGGACGGGUGAGUAACACGUGGGUAACCUGCCCAAGAGACUGGGAUAACACCUGGAAACAGAUGCUAAUACCGGAUAACAACACUAGACGCAUGUCUAGAGUUUGAAAGAUGGUUCUGCUAUCACUCUUGGAUGGACCUGCGGUGCAUUAGCUAGUUGGUAAGGUAACGGCUUACCAAGGCAAUGAUGCAUAGCCGAGUUGAGAGACUGAUCGGCCACAUUGGGACUGAGACACGGCCCAAACUCCUACGGGAGGCAGCAGUAGGGAAUCUUCCACAAUGGACGAAAGUCUGAUGGAGCAACGCCGCGUGAGUGAAGAAGGGUUUCGGCUCGUAAAGCUCUGUUGGUAGUGAAGAAAGAUAGAGGUAGUAACUGGCCUUUAUUUGACGGUAAUUACUUAGAAAGUCACGGCUAACUACGUGCCAGCAGCCGCGGUAAUACGUAGGUGGCAAGCGUUGUCCGGAUU
rnacentral:rRNA from 1 species